rnacentral:lncRNA from 1 species
AAACAUUUCAUUUACAUAACAAAAGUUAGAGAUACUAGAGAGAGAAAGUGAGAAGAUAAAGAGAAGGAAGAGGAAAUACUUGGAGAAGAGGAAAGCUAGAGCUAAGGAGUUAGAGAGGAGAGUGAAGUCAUAACUAGUGAAUUUGAAGCUUUGAGGUAAGGGGGAUAAUUAUACUUCAUCGAAUAAACUAUAAUUCUUUUUCUACUUAUGGGUCAUAAGUGCUUUCGUGUGAAUUAUGAUUUUUAUAAUUUCUUAUGUGGAUUUUCAUGCUUCUAAUUGAUGGGUAGUUAUAGGUAUGUUGAAUUUUAUGGAAUUGAGGUAUUUAUAUGUUCAAGUUCAUGGUUGAUGUUUGAAAUAAGUUGUUUUGGUGAUUUUUGCUCAAUUAAGUGUAAACCAUGGAUUUGUGAGUGAUUAUUGUUCAAACAUGUUAUUGGGGUUUGAAUUGUUGUGUUGUGUGAUAAGUUUGGAUGAAAUGGUGAAAAUAUGAGUUUUUGGUGAAAAAAAGUUUGAUGUUGAAUUUGUGUCGAAACGAUGUUAUGAAUUCAUGUUUGUAAGUGUUUGAUUGCUUUUUAAUGUAUGUUAACUAAUAACAAAGUUUGGGAAACGAUUUUGGGUCAAUGGGGAUCAAAAUGGGGUUUUUGUGAAAAUUUUGGGUGAGUUCCCAAGAGGAACCCAAAAUUUUGGGUCCUCUAUUACUGGUGAGCUCGCCUGGCGAGCUAGGCUGCUCCAUGACGAGUUACCCAGGACAGAACCCAUGAUUUUGGGCAUCCUGUGCAGUUAGGGUCGUUUCCGGACAUCCCUAAAUGCUUCUUUUGAUGUGUUUAAUUGUUGUUUUCACUUAGAAACCUACUGGAAACAUCAAUUGGAUUGAAUUAAGAUGAUUUUGUGAAAUUAGAAUGAAACUAAGUUGAAAACGAUCAAGAACUCAAAUAAAAUGAGUGUUAUGAUUUGUUUUUUUGUAACAAUGAGCUUAGAAUGAAUAUGUAAGGAGUAUAUGAGCUUUAGACUUGGUUUUACUUUGAAAAUGAAUUUCUUUUUGAAAAAUGAAAAAAUGAGACGAACUUAGUGAAUUUUUGGAUAUAACCGGAAUUGAGCUAUGUUGUUGAUGUGUAUGGACUACUGUGAUUUUAUGUGAUAUAUGAAAAUUCUUUGUUGAUGUGUUUGAGCAUGAAUGCCUUGUUUUGGUGAAUUAUUUGAGAAAAAAAGAUGGUUUUUGUGAAAAUACACGAACUUUGUCAAAAUGAGGUUUUAUGGUCGGAUAACUUGCAAAUGGCUUUGUAUUCUUAAUAAUAGGAUAGAAUAAGAAUGAAACAAUGAUGGUUGGGUGUUUAAUAUGAUGAUAGUCAUGAUGUGGUUAGUUGUCCGUCUUUAUGCAAAAUGUGAUUGUGAAACGUUAUUGUUUCUUUGAGGUGAUAAUUGUUGAUGAUGAUUUCGGAGAUAUUAGUUUGGUGAUUUAUGCAUUAUCGAGCCUUUGCCUAAAGUCCAUGCAUUUAUAGUCAUGUUGAGUCUUAUGAAGAAUGUAAAUGGAGAUGUACUUUUACAUUGCUUUGGUGAAAUAUGUAAGUGGAGGUGUACUCUUACGUGGGCGUGGAUUCAAUACGGCAAAAUUAUCUUCGGAAUCGAAUUGGUACCACAUGCAUCUUGAAGAGUCUAAAACAUUUCAUGCAUUUGAUAGUUGGUGAAAUGUGUCAUACUUGACUAUGUGAAUUGGUGAUUAUGUGCAUUGAUGAGAUUUGUGAAUGUUCGUGAAUAUGUGAAAAGGUGAAUUUGUCCAUAUUGUUUUAUUAUGCUUGUAUGCUUGACGAUUAAUAUUGAUGUGGAAUUCAUUGUGAAAGAUUUAAUUAAAGGUUUAUUGAUCAUUGUAAAAUGAAUAUGUUGCUUUACUUUCAUUUGAUUAUAUAUUAUUUGUGGAAUAUAAUCUAACCUCUAGUGGUCGUUCGGUUGACCACCGUGUCAUUUCAUUGAAUGGUGUAGGUGAUUUGCGGGAUUGAGUUGAUUGCUUUUCUUUGAUGCUUGAGGACUAACUUGGAUGCUUCCUCGUUUUAUUUUUUUUCGUUUAGAGUCUAGAUAAGCUCUGAUGUAGGAGUGCCGGUCUUAUGACCUUGUCUUUUGAUACAUUUUGAUGAGUUAUGUUAACUAUAUUACGAGGAUAAUUGUAUCAUGGUGAUGAAUUUUAUGUGGAAGGACAUAUGGCAUGUUGAGAUUUAUUACCAUUGAUUUUGAGGAUUAUUACUUGGUGAUGAGAUAUUAUGUAUGUUGAAUGUCUUCCGUUGCAAAUUUUUAUGGAAACCAAGUUAUGCAUGUUUUGGAAAAAAAAAAUGUAGACAUAACAUUUAAAUAUCUUGAAUUAUUGAAUUUAUUGCAUGAUUAUAGCUUUCAG